rnacentral:lncRNA from 1 species
AUGAGUGGGGCUUCUGUCCAGGGCUCCAGGCAGGGUGCUCAAACCCCCUUUCCUCAACCUCUCAUGGCGGGGGCAGGGAGCCCUCUGGGGCUGGGGCAGCCUGGGCUCCAGGCAAAGCUGGGCCCCGGAACACAUCUGGGCUGUGGGCUGAGGGCUGAGGACCUGCGAGUUAGGGCCCAGCCGCAGCGCCAGGUGGAGGUCAGGCUCUAUCCCGGGGUCCCCCUGCUCAGCGAGCCUCCUGCAGGGGUCAGCCGCGACCACCACUGCCCACCUGCCAGCUUCCAGGCAGGACCCCGAGCCCACCUCCUGGCCACAGUCAGCACCGUAACCCCCACCUGGCCAACAGCUCUAGAGACAAGCAUUUCCUGGAGGCCCCUGGGAGCUUGGAAUGUGGCGCACACCCGCCCUAGGGGACCCCCACGCUCACUGCCCGGGGGGUCUCUCCUCUCUCCGCUGCCCAGACCACUGGCGCCUGCGCUUCACAGACUGCUCAGCAAAGCAGAGGCCCGGACCCCAGCUCUCUUGGAGCUACCCUGCCUGCUCCCCAGGUGCCCCCUGCCCAGCUCUCACCCCACUCUGGGGGAUCUCCCCUAUGAUAUGAGUCCUUCCCCAGGGAGGAAAUCUGUUGUUCAAAAAACGAGACUGCCUCCAUCUCCCCAUAUUAAAGAAAUAAGAGCACAGCGAUACUCCUGCACCUUCAUCAGAAUGGCUAAGACAGAGCAGCGGACAGCAGCAAGGCUGGCAAGGCUGUGGGAGGCUGGAGCGCUCCCGCACGGCGGGUGGGGGUGGCCUGGAGACACGCCGGGCAGGGGGUGCUUUCAUGCCUGUCCUGCAACCAGGGACUGCCCAAGGAAGCGUGGUGACCAGGACGGGGCACAGCCCCCGGNACUGCCCAAGGAAGCGUGGCGACCAGGACGGGGCACAGCCCCGGGGGACCCACCAGGAACCGAGGUCAUGUUUGCGGGGGAGGACACGAGCAGCAGAAAGGCCAUGAGGGCUGUGUGAGGGGUCCCCUGCGAGGAAGACCACGGAGCAGCAAGGAGAAGGGGCCAAGCGUGCCCCGAGGGUCUCCCGCUGCCCAGGCAGCCCCGGGCUCGGCGUUCAGAGCUUCCGUUUCGCGCCAGCCGAGCCUAGGGGAUCAUCUCCCCUUGGCGAGCCUCAGCUGCAGCAGCUCCAGGGUUAGACGUGAGCACUGCACACA